GCAGCCUUGCCAUGUGCCCCAGCCUCUCCUAGGGCCCCUCACCACUGGUGUUUGUCACAUUCUCUGGGCACAGGAGAGAGCUGUCUGUUCAGGCAUAAGCCUGCAGCCUCAUUGACAUGCAUUUGAUCCUGUGACCGGUGUGAGCAGGAGGCAGUUUAUGGAUGGAUGGCUUUGCACUCAGGAAGGGAGAAAAGUGAAAGAGACCCGCAUCUCCAACAAUCCCACAAGUGGCAAAACUGCAUCCAUGGUACACAAGGUCUGGGAUUAGGAGUCUUCAUCCUGAGUAAGGAAAAUGUCUGAUCUGACACAUUGGCUGCCUCACACGUCUGUGCUCAGUUGCUUCCCCACCGGUUCUUGCCUGCAUUUGCUGUUCCGUGAAGGUCUUGGGAAGCUCAGGGGCUCUGCUCUCUCAAGCAAGCUGAAGUAUUUCCAUCCACGUUCAGUAUCUUGAAUUUUCAUUAGAGUGGGAGACCACUUCAGUUUCUGAUUAUCUGUUUGCUUGCAGGUCUGUCUGCUCAGGCUGCAGACAGACAUGUCUUUUACUGCCAUUUGUAUAGAGCUGUGAGAACAGAAAGUGUGUUUGCAGGGAGGGAAAGAAAAGUGAAAUAAGUGUAAGUGAAGUCUAUUGUACAUUUGGGAGCCUUAGCUGAUGCCUGUGAAAACAAAACAUAAGGAAGCAGGUGAACUUGUCUUCCUGAGACCAAGCCAUCUCUCCUCCCUGGAAAGGAAUCAGAGAGAGGAGGUGGGAUUUCUCAGGAAGGUGGCUGGGGGAAGGCUUAGAGCAAAGCUUGAUGUUUUUUAGUGAACCUACAGAGAUCAUGGUGUUUCAAAACACUGUGAAUAAGGCUGCAGAGAUGUUGUGUUUGAGGUUUUUCCUUGCUUCUAUGUGCUCAAACUGCAUCAAACAUUUUUUUCCUCUAAUUCCACUCAGCUAUUUAUUUUCAAAUUUGUGGUUAUACCAAACUAGUCUUAAUGGAAGCUGGAAAUGUCACAGCAUUAAGGGUAAUGUGCACCCUGAACCUCCUACGUUACUGGUGCUAAGAUGCAGGUCAAAGAGAACUUCUUAACAUCAGGUGCCACAAUGUUUGUGUUGGUACCUACAAAGGGCUGUCAGGUUUGUGCACUGUCAAACAUCCUGAUUGAUUACACAUUAAAAAAUAUGAGCACUGAGACAAGAUUUCUGCUAUUUCCUCUAGCACACAACACAAGAUGGCUGAUGGUAAUUAGCCAUUGUUAAUGUAUAAUGUAACUCCUUAAAUUUCUAGAUGGAAAAAAUAUAAUGUCCUCAAAAUCAGAUGGAAAAGAUCUAUAAGAAAAAAUGCAUGCAGAGUCCUAACUUGACAACAAUUGAGGGGUUGAUAGUGUCUCAGUUCCCAUCCCUGCAGCUGUUUCUUUCUCUUCAGCAAUACAUUGAGUAGUGGAUAUCAAUUGACAAAAUAAAUGAUGCUGACUUGUGAUUAAUUUGAAUCAGAUUUGCAUUUGAAAGACACCAAAAAUUUGUGGAAAAACAGGAUGAAAGACUCAAGAUCUUAACAGGCUUAAACUUAAAAUAGAAGAAGACAGUAAAUUUGUAAGUACUGGAAUUUGACACUAUAAAAAGCCAUCAAUAAACUCCCAUUGUAUGUAAGAAGAGAGAUGGAAAUAUUCAGAAGUGCUGCAUAAAUUACUUUUCCUGUGAGUUUCUUAGUACCUACCCUUUUCAUUCUUUUAAAA